UUGGUGUUUUAUUCUCUCAGUGACGAACUUGACAACAACCCAUUUUUUUUCUCAAACUUUUUUUUUUGUCAAUGGAUUAAAAUUUAUUAGAACGAAGGGUUGAAAGCCCACCCCACUACCGGAGGAACAAACAAAACCAGCCAGGUGGCCCAACAAGACUAGAAAGAAAAAUAAAUGAAAUUUGGCAGAAAGUGAACCAAAUGGCAUACAUGCAAACAAGCUAACGGACAAGCUAGCAGACAACUUUCAUAGUUUCCACCAACCAUGAAUUAAAGUUGGUUGAAAAAUCCACACAAAUGACACUAGCUCCCACGCCAUUACUGAUAUUCUGCACUACUGUCCAAGCUCAUCAAUAAUUCAAACUCUUCCUUCUUUCUAGUUUCUCUACACACCAUCUUCACAAGUGGAUCCAAGCUCCUCCCACCACUCAGACAAGGCAUAGUAGCCCAAGAUAAUCGUUCACUCUUUUUCUAUUGAGAAACAAAGAUGCACCACCAUUGCUGGUUUUAUUACUGGGCCAUUGAGUCAUACGGGUUACCCAUAGUGGGUUUAAGACAAGUGAAACGUGACCCAUCAGUCCAUUACCAAAACCUAGGGUUAUAGUGCGCUUCCCUUCCAUUUCGCGAUAGGGUUACCUUCUGUUCUUACCGGGAAGGAAACAUGGUUUCGCUGAAACUGCAGAAUAGGCUCACUUCCAGUAUCCUCAAGUGCGGAAGAGGCAAAGUUUGGCUUGAUCCCAAUGAAGUCAAUGAAAUCUCCAUGGCCAAUUCUCAUAACCACUCCCACUCAAUAUUUCAUUUUCGUUAUGAUUUCUGGUAAAAAACAUAAGGAAGUUGGUCAAGGAUGGGUUCAUUAUCAGGAAACCUACUGAGAUUCAUUUCAGAUCAUGUGCCCGUCGAAUGAAGGAAACCAAGAGUAAAGGCCGACACUCUGGAUAUCGUAAAUUAAUCUACCUUUUUACUUUUGUUCAAGGUAAAUUUUUCUAAAUGACGUGACUUGAUCAACGGUUGCCCAUUUACAAAAUCCAGAUUAAAUAACAUGAGUAAGUCUUUGAUCUUUGUCGAA